UUUAUUUUUAUGCCCCACCUACGAUAGUAGAGGGGCAUUAUGUUUUCUGGUCUGUGCGUCCGUUCGUCCGUCGUUCGUUCGUCCGUUCGUUCGUUCCGUUCGUCCGUCUGUCCCGCUUCAGGUUAAAGUUUUUGGUCGAGGUAGUUUUUGAUGAAGUUGAAGUCCAAUCAACUUGAAACUUAGUACCCAUGUUCCUUAUGAUAUGAUCUUUCUAAUUUAAAUGCCAAAUUAGAGUUUUGACCCCAAUUUUACGGUUCACUG
rnacentral:lncRNA from 1 species